GACGAACGCUGGCGGCGUGCUUAACACAUGCAAGUCGAACGAAGUGGCGAACGGGUGAGUAAUACGUGGGUAACCUGCCCUCCUCUUUGGGAUAAGCCUUGGAAACGGGGUCUAACACCGAAUAAAGGGGGUUGGGCUCGCGGCCUAUCAGCGUGUUGGGGGGGUGAUGGCCUACCAAGGCGGUGACGGGUAGCCGGCCUGGGAGGGUGAACGGGGACGUAGGGACGGAGCAGCCGCCCAGGCUCGGACGGGAGGGGGCAGUGGGGGAUAUGGCACAAUGGGCGAAAGACUAAUGCAGCGACGCCGCAUAAGGGAUGAGGGCCUUCAGGUUGUGGAGCUCGAGCGGUAUCAAGCGGGUAGGUGACGAAGAAGCCACGGCUAACUACGUGCCAGCAGCCGCGGUAAUAC
rnacentral:rRNA from 1 species